rnacentral:rRNA from 1 species
AUUGAACGCUGGCGGCAGGCCUAACACAUGCAAGUCGAACGAAUGGCGGACGGGUGAGUAAUGUCUGGGAAACUGCCUGAUGGAGGGGGAUAACUACUGGAAACGGUAGCUAAUACCGCUUAACAUCAUAUGAGCCGAGGUUGGAUUAGCUAGUUGGUGGGGUAAAGGCCAACCAAGGCGACGAUCCUUAACUGGUCUGAGAGGAUGAUCAGUCACACUGGAACUGAGAAACGGGCCAGACUCCUACGGGAGGCAGCAGUGGGGAAUAUUGGACAAUGGGCGAAAGCCUGAUCCAGCCAUGCCGCGUGAGUGAAGAAGGUCUUCGGAUUGUAAAGCUCUUUAAGUUGGGAGGCGGUAUCAACAGAAAAAGCACCGGCUAACUUCGUGCCAGCAGCCGCGGUAAUUC